CGCGUAGGUGGUUCAGUCGGUCAGAUGUGAAAGCCCCGGGCUCAACCUGGGAAUUGCACCUGAUACUGCUGAGCUAGAGUACGGUAGAGGGUAGUGGAAUUUCCGGUGUAGCGGUGAAAUGCGUAGAGAUCGGAAGGAACACCAGUGGCGAAGGCGACUACCUGGACCGAUACUGACACUGAGGUGCGAAAGCGUGGGUAGCAAACA
rnacentral:rRNA from 1 species